CGACCCCUCAAGCCCGGCUUGGUGUUGGGGCCCCUACGUGCGCCGUAGGCCCCGAACUGCAGUGGCGGGCUCGCCGCGAUCCCGAGCGUAGUAGCGUUACCUCGCUCAGGGCGCGCGGCGGGCGCCGGCCGUGAAAGAAAACCACUUUUCACCCCAAAA
rnacentral:misc_RNA from 1 species